AAAUCAACCGGUAUUGAUAAAAUGACUCACUUGUCAAUCAAAGAUAUGCUUCACAACCACAAACUUUGAGCACUCUUGCAUACCCUGCUUUAUAUCCAUGUCGAAGGCAGAAUCGGACUGCACAACAAAUCCGCGUUUAUUUUUUCAGGAUAGUUUAAUGGUCUUUCAGUCCCUACACUCCAUUUGCACAAUUAAAGCACUUACACAACCACCAAGUUGGAGCUCUCAUAUCUAAGCACGAGCAGGUAUCAGCUCUUGGAGCAGAUAAAAACAGCAUCACCAGAGAAUGAGUCAUUUUCACAAUAAGAAAAAUAUCGAUGUCGCAUACGAGACUGUAUGUUCAACUCUCAGUCACAGAACUGAAGCAUAACAGGACUGAAUGCACAGUUCAAAUCAAACAUGUUAUUGACCAGCAGAUAUUCACUUGCCUGACUCAUUGCAUCAGCUGCAGCAGCUGAGAAGGGCACUACAAGGGCAGGUGAACUGAGAGCAGCAGCAGCAGCCCCUAAUCCAGGGGACGCAUCAGCUAAGACCGAAGGAUUCUGAAAGAAGAAAAAAGGCUUCGGUAGAGGAGUUACAGCAGGAGGUACAGUUGUUCCAAGAGGACCAAGUACCGGCGCUAGCGCGGCAGGCAAGGUAGAAGCAACACUGCCGAUGUGCACAAAAAAUUCGCUGUAUGAAAUAGGUAGGAUCGCAAGUAUGCAUAGAUAGCAAUUAACAAAACUAUUCAUAUGGAACCAACUGCGAAAACGAAAAGGCAACCACUAUUGGAACUUAACGUACUUCUAGGGUUAGGGUAUAAGUUCAGUAUUUGC
rnacentral:lncRNA from 1 species